rnacentral:lncRNA from 1 species
ACCUUUUUCAGUGAAGUUAACAACACUCUCAACUGGAAGAACCCUCUCAGCAAGAGAUGUUAUUCCAGGCAACUGGUCUCCUAAAGCCACUUACACCUCUCAAGCCCUCUCAGCAAGAGAUGUUAUUCCAGGAAAUUGGUCUCCUAAAGCCACCUACACCUCUCGUCUUAACUUCUUCUAAUUGGUUCCCAUUUACUGAAGAAUUAAUAGCUCUUUUUUUUAAGGAAAAGUAGCCGUUUGGAUCAGCAUAUAAAAGUAUCCAAGGCUCUUUCCUUUUUCCUUUUGUUGUUGUUGUUGUAACUGCAUUUGAAACAGCCUCUCUGCCCUUUCGGGUAGGGGUAAGGCUCGUCUAGAUAUUAUCCUCCCCAGAGUAUAUUGGGUAGUUGUUGUUGUUGUAACUGCUAGUAGCCCACUCCAAAGGAGUGUGAGCGCUUUGCCUUGUGUUUCUUUUUUUUGUUUGGGUGUAAUAAGUGUGUGGUGAUAUGUUAAUUUGUUGGGUCAUUUUCUGUGGAGGAUAGGACCAAACUGAAUGCACAUGUAAUGUAAUGUUGCUUCAUAUGGAAACAUGAAUGAAUGACGUGGGGACCUUUCUUCCCUUUUGGUAGUUUGGUUCUGUUUUCUACUAUAUUUAAUAUCUUG